GCAGUUUCCAGCUUGACUUACCUUUGCUGAGUGAUUUUGGGGUCCGGAAACGUAUGUUCCGUCCAUCAUGAAGGGCCCCAGCCUAUCCCAUCACAGUGAGGGGUGGGGCAUGACCUGGAGCCGCAGUUGGCAACGGGAGUGGCUUUAGCCCCCCGACCACCCUAACAUCUUGCACUGUCUGGGGGCUCCCCGGGCUCAGCAACACCCACCUCUGUGGCUGGGAGCUGGGCUCAGCCACAUCCCUGCAACUUCUCCGGGACACCGCCAUCCAGCUACGCCAAGGCUUGACGGCGGCUCCAUGUUUCCUGCCAAUGGCGGUGCUAUUAACUUAAUCCUUGAUGUCCAGCGAUGCUUCUGGUUCUCCUUCUUCUGGGCACCUGUUAAAACUGCACUCUUCUG
rnacentral:lncRNA from 1 species